rfam:Pseudomonas denitrificans ATCC 13867, complete genome.
GGCCCGCGCCUUGCUCUGCACAAGGCGAUGGUAAUCAACGGCGGUUACCCGACUACGACAAAGGCGUCGC